AUACAGAGGGUGCGAGCGUUAAUCGGAAUUACUGGGCGUAAAGCGCGCGUAGGCGGCUUAUUAAGUCAGAUGUGAAAUCCCCGGGCUCAACCUGGGAACUGCAUCUGAUACUGGUAAGCUAGAGUUUUGGAGAGGGAAGUAGAAUUUCAGGUGUAGCGGUGAAAUGCAUAGAGAUCUGAAGGAAUAACAGUGGCGAAGGCGACUUCCUGGCCAAAAACUGACGCUGAGGUGCGAAAGCGUGGGUAGCAAACGGGAGUAGAAACCCGAGUAGUCC
rnacentral:rRNA from 1 species